GACUCUGUAUUAAAAAUGAUAAUAAUAGAACAGGAUGGAGUGCAGCCAUGCUGGUACGUCAAGGGGAGAGGCAGCUGCCGCAAUAGACGUGUUCCUCAUGAUCUGGCGCCACAAGAUCACCAUCUUUUGGGACGCCAAGGAGUCCAGCACAGUGUUCGAGCUGAAGCAUAUUAUUGAGAGCAUCCUCAAACAGCCGCCCAACAAGCAGCGGCUGUACAAGGACGACCAGCUCUUGGAUGAUGGCAAGACACUGGGCGAGUGUGGCUUCACCAGUCAAACAGCACAGCCACAGGCCCCAGCCACCAUGGGGCUGGCCUUCUGGGCAGAUGACACCUUUGAGGCCCUGUGCAUCAAGCCAUUCUCCAGCCUGCCCGAGCUGCCUGAUACGAUGAAGCCCCAGGACUCAGGAAGCAGUGCCAAUGAACAAGCAGUGCAGUGAGGUCCCCUAAGAGGCCCAUUCCCCCCAGUAAAAGAGAUUUGGGAGUCAAAAAAAAAAAA